AGUGAACGCUGGCGGUAGGCCUAACACAUGCAAGUCGAACGGCAGCACAGUAAGAGCUUGCUCUUACGGGUGGCGAGUGGCGGACGGGGGAGGAAUACAUCGGAAUCUACUUUUUCGUGGGGGAUAACGUAGGGAAACUUACGCUAAUACCGCAUACGACCUACGGGUGAAAGCAGGGGAUCUUCGGACUUUGCGCGAUUGAAUGAGCCGAUGUCGGAUUAGCUAGUUGGCGGGGUAAAGGCCCACCAAGGCGACGAUCCGUAGCUGGUCUGAGAGGAUGAUCAGCCACACUGGAACUGAGACACGGUCCAGACUCCUACGGGAGGCAGCAGUGGGGAAUAUUGGACAAAGGGCGCAAGCCUGAUCCAGCCAUACCGCGUGGGUGAAGAAGGCCUUCGGGUUGUAAAGCCCUUUUGUUGGGAAAGAAAAGCAGCAGGUUAAUACCCCGCUGUUCUGACGGUACCCAAAGAAUAAGCACCGGCUAACUUCGUG
rnacentral:rRNA from 1 species